UUGUUGGUGAGGUAAAGGCUUACCAAGGCUUCGAUCAGUAGCUGGUCUGAGAGGACGGCCAGCCACACUGGGACUGAGACGCGGCCCAGACUCCUACGGGAGGCAGCAGUGGGGAAUUUUGGACAAUGGGGGCAACCCUGAUCCAGCCAUGCCGCGUGAGUGAAGAAGGCCUUCGGGUUGUAAAGCUCUUUCAGCCGGAACGAAACGGUUACGGUUAAUACCCGUGACUACUGACGGUACCGGAAGAAGAAGCACCGGCUAACUACGUGCCAGCAGCCGCGGUAAUACGUAGGGUGCAAGCGUUAAUCGGAAUUACUGGGCGUAAAGCGUGCGCAGGUGGUUUUGUAAGUCAGAUGUGAAAUCCCCGGGCUUAACCUGGGAACUGCGUUUGAAACUACAAGGCUAGAGUGUGGCAGAGGGGGGUGGAAUUCCGCGUGUAGCAGUGAAAUGCGUAGAUAUGUGGAGGAACACCGAUGGCGAAGGCAGCCCCCUGGGUCAACACUGACGCUCGGGCACGAAAGCAUGGGGAGCAAACAGGAUUAGAUACCCUGGUAGUCCAUGCCCUAAACGAUGUCAACUAGUUGUCGGGCCUUAACGGGCUUGGUAACGUAGCUAACGCGUGAAGUUGACCGCCUGGGGAGUACGAUCGCAAGAUUAAAACUCAAAGGAAUUGACGGGGACCCGCACAAGCGGUGGAUUAUGUGGAUUAAUUCGAUGCAACGCGAAAAACCUUACCUACCCUUGACAUGUAUCGAAGCCCGCAGAGAAGCGGGUGUGCCCGAAAGGGAACGAUAACACAGGUGCUGCAUGGCUGUCGUCAGCUCGUGUCGUGAGAUGUUGGGUUAAGUCCCGCAACGAGCGCAACCCUUGUCAUUAAUUGCCAUCAUUUAGUUGGGCACUUUAAUGAGACUGCCGG
rnacentral:rRNA from 1 species